rnacentral:rRNA from 1 species
UACAGAGGUCUCAAGCGUUGUUCGGAUUCAUUGGGCGUAAAGGGUGCGUAGGCGGCGCGGUAAGUCGGGGUGUGAAAUCUCGGAGCUUAACUCCGAAACUGCAUUCGAUACUGCCGUGCUUGAGGACUGGAGAGGAGACUGGAAUUUACGGUGUAGCGGUGAAAUGCGUAGAUAUCGUAAGGAAGACCAGUGGCGAAGGCGGGUCUCUGGACAGUUCCUGACGCUGAGGCACGAAGGUCAGGGGGAGCAAAACGGG